rnacentral:rRNA from 1 species
GAUGAACGCUGGCGGCGUGCCUAAUACAUGCAAGUCGAGCGAACGGACGAGAAGCUUGCUUCUCUGAUGUUAGCGGCGGACGGGUGAGUAACACGUGGAUAACCUACCUAUAAGACUGGGAUAACUUCGGGAAACCGGAGCUAAUACCGGAUAAUAUUUUGAACCGCAUGGUUCAAAAGUGAAAGACGGUCUUGCUGUCACUUAUAGAUGGAUCCGCGCUGCAUUAGCUAGUUGGUAAGGUAACGGCUUACCAAGGCAACGAUGCAUAGCCCACCUGAGAGGUAAAACGGCUACGCUGUAGCUGCAACACGAUCCGGACUCCUACGGGAGGCAGCAGAAGGGAAUCUUGCGCAAUGGGCGAAAGCCUGACAGAGCAACGCCGCGUGAGUGAUGAAGGGCUUGGGAUCGUAAAACUCUGUUAUUAGGGAAGAACAUAUGUGUAAGUAACUGUGCACAUCUUGACGGUACCUAAUCAGAAAGCCACGGCUAACUACGUG